UACGUAGGGGGCUAGCGUUGUCCGGAAUCAUUGGGCGUAAAGCGCGUGUAGGCGGCCCGAUAAGUCCGCUGUGAAAGUCCAGGGCUCAACCCUGGGAUGCCCGGUGGAUACUGUCGGGCUCGAGUCCGGAAGAGGCGAGUGGAAUUCCUGGUGUAGCGGUGAAAUGCGCAGAUAUCAGGAGGAACACCAAUGGCGAAGGCAGCUCGCUGGGACGUGACUGACGCUGAGACGCGAAAGCGUGGGGAGCAAACAGG
rnacentral:rRNA from 1 species